rnacentral:rRNA from 1 species
UACGGAGGGUGCAAGCGUUAUCCGGAUUCACUGGGCUUAAAGGGCGCGUAGGCGGGCAAUUAAGUCAGUGGUGAAAUCUCCGGGCUUAACCCGGAAACUGCCAUUGAUACUAUUUGUCUUGAAUACUGUGGAGGUCAGCGGAAUAUGUCAUGUAGCGGUGAAAUGCUUAGAUAUGACAUAGAACACCAAUUGCGAAGGCAGCUGGCUGCGCAGAUAUUGACACUGAGGCGCGAAAGCGUGGGGAGCAAACAGG